rnacentral:rRNA from 1 species
GCUGGUCUGAGAGGAUGAUCAGCCACACUGGGACUGAGACACGGCCCAGACUCCUACGGGAGGCAGCAGCAAGGAAUCUUGGGCAAUGGGCGAAAGCCUGACCCAGCAACGCCGCGUGAGGGAUGAAGGCUUUCGGGUUGUAAACCUCUUUUCAUAGGGAAGAAUAAUGACGGUACCUGUGGAAUAAGCUUCGGCUAACUACGUGCCAGCAGCCGCGGUAAUACGUAGGAAGCAAGCGUUAUCCGGAUUUAUUGGGCGUAAAGUGAGCGUAGGUGGUCUUUCAAGUUGGAUGUGAAAUUUCCCGGCUUAACCGGGACGAGUCAUUCAAUACUGUUGGACUAGAGUACAGCAGGAGAAAACGGAAUUCCCGGUGUAGUGGUAAAAUGCGUAGAUAUCGGGAGGAACACCAGAGGCGAAGGCGGUUUUCUAGGUUGUCACUGACACUGAGGCUCGAAAGCGUGGGGAGCGAACAGAAUUAGAUACUCUGGUAGUCCACGCCUUAAACUAUGGACACUAGGUAUAGGGAGUAUCGACCCUCUCUGUGCCGAAGCUAACGCUUUAAGUGUCCCGCCUGGGGAGUACGGUCGCAAGGCUAAAACUCAAAGGAAUUGACGG